CCUACGGGUGGCUGCAGUGGGGAAUAUUGCACAAUGGGCGCAAGCCUGAUGCAGCCAUGCCGCGUGUGUGAAGAAGGCCUUCGGGUUGUAAAGCACUUUCAGCGGGGAGGAAGGCGGUGAGGUUAAUAACCUCAUCGAUUGACGUUACCCGCAGAAGAAGCACCGGCUAACUCCGUGCCAGCAGCCGCGGCAAUACGGAGGGUGCAAGCGUUAAUCGGAAUUACUGGGCGUAAAGCGCACGCAGGCGGUCUGUCAAGUCGGAUGUGAAAUCCCCGGGCUCAACCUGGGAACUGCAUUCGAAACUGGCAGGCUAGAGUCUUGUAGAGGGGGGUAGAAUUCCAGGUGUAGCGGUGAAAUGCGUAGAGAUCUGGAGGAAUACCGGUGGCGAAGGCGGCCCCCUGGACAAAGACUGACGCUCAGGUGCGAAAGCGUGGGGAGCAAACAGGAUUAGAUACCCGGGUAGUC
rnacentral:rRNA from 1 species